AAAGUGUGGUAGCGAAUAUCUUUCUUAGUAUUUCUAGCUGCCGAGAGAUCUACCAACGAACUCUAGGUCUCCGCAAAAUUUGACAAGAGUGGUACUCGGCCUGGAUAACUUUAUGUUCAGAAGAAAGAUCAUCGUCAUGGCAUAUGAUUAUCAAAAAUUCCCCGUGUUUAAGUAUCACAACUCAGAUAACAAUACCAAGGAGAAUAGGAAACCAUAGAAUACAGUCCGUGAGUAGACACUCAAGGAAAUUGACAUCAAUUCACAGUCUCCAUUGCAAAGUCUUGGUGUGGAUAUAUUAUAUUAUAAUAUUAAUACAGGAAACAAUGAAAACGCUUGAAAUAAUGAUGCCUGAUAUUUUCGAAACACCUUGCGCUGCAACGUGUGCUAUUUUGAAUUAUAUUCAGGUGCAACAACAGACAUAGUUGAAUUACCAUGACUGUGCGAAUUUUACUAAACUAGAAUAAUCAAGAAAGGCUGAUAGUAACUAAAAACGUUUAUUGCACAAAUUGGGAACUGAUUUACGUAGUAGAAAUGAAAAGAAAUGUAAAUCCAUGAAGCAACUUAUAUAAUUGAAGAAUGGUAAGCGCUCAACUAAAUUGAUAUAAUAAUCCAAAAGCUAUAACCCUUGAACUUGUUGAAGUAAAAAAUCUCAUCCAUUGUUAU